CACACCGUAGCUUACUCGGACCUCUCACUGUGGGUGCCAACUUUGUCAGACUACUUCGAACAGACAAUUAUCGCACAGCAUCACCUACUUUCACCUCGUCACCUCUCGGGGGCCCUGUAUGUGAAGCAGUAUAAAGAAGAGGAAGAGGAAGAAACUACCAACAUGGACGACCACCAUAAGGACUGGUUACGGCUGAAGGGGAAGGUGAAGUUGGUCAACACCUCUGGCCAACUCCUCAAUAAGAUCCAGGCAUGGCUGGAGAAGAAGGAGAAUUGUGCAAAGAAUCUAUGGAAGCUGGUAAAAGAACUGGAGGACCUCAGACAGAUAUGUAACGCUGGGGAAUGCGUAGGGAACACUGUAUCUGUCAUAGGCGCUGCGUGUCUUCUAGGGGGCAUGGUGGCCACCUUUUGCACAGCAGGGGCUGCAGCCCCGCUUCUGGGUGGGCUCGGGGUGGCAUACUUGGGUACAGGCACCACAAUCAGCUUGACCACAAAGCUAAUCGAACAUUUUGUGUCCGGCAGCAGUAUGGAAGAUGCAAAGAAGGCGGCAAAGGAGAGCGAAAUAAUUGAAGAGGAAAUAUUGGAACUGAUAGAAAAGCUAAAGAUGGAGAGAGUGAACCCUAUGCAAGAUGCAAGCGAGUACAUUGCAAUGUGUAUUUUUGAAGCCAUGUCGGGGAUGGGUCACAAAGGGCGGCUCCUGCAUGGUUUUAUUAAAGUUGGUGAUACUCUAAUGGCACUAUGUAGUUUUUUCGUAAUUUUGAGCCUUAAAAAACGAGGAAAAAUAUCAACAAUGCUGGUGACAACGAUAAUACAGGAACUUGCAGUCGCCGGAGGAAAGUUUGCAGCUAAAGGAUUAUGUAUGGCAGUGGCAGGAGGGAUUGGAAUGGUAUUCGCACUUCCGGAGUCGAUUGACAGCUGGAAGGAGCUUGUCACAAAAAAGCAUGUGACUGAAGCCAGCCAAUCACUGAAGAACACAGCUGAAAACAUUGAUCAGUUCUGCAAGGACCUGAGGAACAAUCUUAAAAGGAUUCAGGAGGACAUUGAACAGAUGAACCAGCAAAUGAACCAGCAGACGACCAACAAUAAAGGAAACCAGAGCAAUCAGAACCAGCAGACCAACAGCCAUCAAGGAGACCAGAGAAAUCAGAACCAGCAGACCAAUAGCAAACCAGGGGAUGAUGAUGAGGAGGACAAGCAGCAGAACAACAGGGGGCAUUUGGACAUCCAGUUUACGGACAGCGACGAGGAGAGUGACAGCGACGAGGAGAGUGACAGCGAUGAGGAGAGCGACAGUGACGAGGAAGGCUAUUUGCAGAUGGGACUGUUCAAUAUCAGGUCCAUGGUCCAAAAGGCUGAUAUGGUAUCGGAAGUCAUCCAAACAAACAUGCUCGAUGUCUUUCUCACCACGGAAACCUGGUUAAGGCCUUUAAAUUUCGAGACAGUGCUCCAGAACGCUUGUCCCCCUAACUUUGAAUUCCACCAUCAGGCCAGACCAAAGGGGCCUGAUGGUAAAGAAAGAAGAGGCGGCGGCGUGGCCAUCCAACACAGGGAUGUGUACAUCGGCCAAGAGAUAAGGGUUCCAUUCGAUACAGCGUUUGAGUAUGUGGCCGUGGUCCUGGAAAACGACCAGUGGGAGGUUCCCGUCCUCUUGGUCAACGUGUACUUUCCUCCGGGAUACAACCGGGUACAAUUUCAGCGGUUUGUAUAUGACUUCAGCAAGCUGCUGGACAAUUUAGAGGAGAGGGGGUACGACCACGUCAUCUUCACAGGUGAUUUCAAUAUCCACAUGGACGAAGGCAUGCAGUCCUCUGCCAUAGAGUUUCAUUGGCUGUUAAAUAAUAGGGGUCUUGAGCUACGUACCAACGGGCCAACACGUUAUCCAGGGAGACACACACUGGACCUGGUCUUCACCCGGAAUGUGGAUAUUCGCAAUUUAUCCUAUGAAUACACUCCCGUUGAGGAACGUGUCUCGGAUCAUGUGAUUAUUUUAUUCCAAGCCACUCCGAUAUCAAUAGACAAAAAAAAAAAAAAAAAAGAGAAAAAGAGGAAAUUCAUACGAAAAAAAUAA
ensembl:lncRNA